rnacentral:misc_RNA from 1 species
AAGUCGUAACAAGGUUUCCGUAGGUGAACCUGCGGAAGGAUCAUUAUUGAAUUCCAACUGGGUGAGAUUGCUGCUGGCUCUCGGGCAUGUGCACAUCUCAUUCAUUUACCUCUCACCUCUGUGCACCUUUCACAGGACAGCCGGUGGUUGUAGGCUUCAUUGUCUAUGGCUACAGGUUGCUUUGUGUGCUUUAUAAACUCAUAAUCAAGUUCAGAAUGUCUAUUGUGUAUCCACACAUUUAAAUACAA